rnacentral:rRNA from 1 species
UGGCGGUAUUUAAGUCCAGUUAGAGGAACCUGCUUCUUAAAACGACACACCACGAAGUAUCUUAUUUUUCUUUGUUUACAGCUUGUAUACCUCCAUUAUUAGGUGUAGUUAAGAAACAUUUACUUUAAUAUAGCAGUUAUUUAUAGUAUAUUAGGUCAAGGUGCAGCCUAUGGGAAAAUUGAUUGUGGGUUACAUUUUCAUUUUAGAUUCGGGAAAGAAAUUGAAAUUUUUUUUAAAGUUGGAUUUAAUUGUAAUUUUUAUUUAAUAUGUAAAAUUGAUAUUGGCUCUUAAAUAUGUACACAUCGCCCGUCGCUCGCGGGAAA